UACGUAGGGGGCAAGCGUUAUCCGGAUUUACUGGGUGUAAAGGGAGCGUAGACGGCAGCGCAAGCCAGAUGUGAAAGCCCGGGGCUCAACCCCGGGACUGCAUUUGGAACUGUGCUGCUAGAGUGUCGGAGAGGCAGGCGGAAUUCCUAGUGUAGCGGUGAAAUGCGUAGAUAUUAGGAGGAACACCGGUGGCGAAGGCGGCCUGCUGGACGAUGACUGACGUUGAGGCUCGAAAGCGUGGGGAGCAAACAGG
rnacentral:rRNA from 1 species